rnacentral:rRNA from 1 species
GAGCGGCGGACGGGUGAGUAAUGUCUGGGAAACUGCCUGAUGGAGGGGGAUAACUACUGGAAACGGUAGCUAAUACCGCAUAACGUCGCAAGACCAAAGAGGGGGACCUUCGGGCCUCUUGCCAUCAGAUGUGCCCAGAUGGGAUUAGCUAGUAGGUGGGGUAACGGCUCACCUAGGCGACGAUCCCUAGCUGGUCUGAGAGGAUGACCAGCCACACUGGAACUGAGACACGGUCCAGACUCCUACGGGAGGCAGCAGUGGGGAAUAUUGCACAAUGGGCGCAAGCCUGAUGCAGCCAUGCCGCGUGUAUGAAGAAGGCCUUCGGGUUGUAAAGUACUUUCAGCGGGGAGGAAGGCGGUGAGGUUAAUAACCUCAUCGAUUGACGUUACCCGCAGAAGAAGCACCGGCUAACUCCGUGCCAGCAGCCGCGGUAAUACGGAGGGUGCAAGCGUUAAUCGGAAUUACUGGGCGUAAAGCGCACGCAGGCGGUCUGUCAAGUCGGAUGUGAAAUCCCCGGGCUCAACCUGGGAACUGCAUUCGAAACUGGCAGGCUAGAGUCUUGUAGAGG